AUACACAAGUCAAAAUGAAGAAAACCUAUCCAACCAGGAGGCAAUCCACUUUCAAAGCUCACUCUUAUUUUCAACCAGCCCGCAUUGUGUCAUGUUUGUUUGUUUGUUUCACAACAACUUUUUGGGCCGGGCUUAAGUUUUUUGUGGGGUAGACAUAGGCCAUUUAAGUAUGCGUCGUAAAUGGAGAUUUUGGGGGUAUAAACUUAAACCUACAUUUGAAUUGGUCCCAAAACUUGAAAACUAAUUUAUCUAUGCAUGCAAGUGGCCAUUUUCAACUGUGAUUGAAAUGUGUUGUGCCUUGUAUGACGGCGUGAGUUUGAACUCCAUCAGUGACUAAUCUAAUAUCUAACUUGCUAAUGCUAUUGCUUGACUCAAAAAAAAAAAAAAAACACUUAUCUAUGCAUGAGAUUCCACUGUAACAAUACUCCCAUAAUUACAAACUGCCACACAUUUAAACUUCUCCACAUGCCAAAGAGAGCAGCAUUAUACUAAGAAGGACUACGUAUCCAUAAAAAAUUUAGCAUAAAAUAAGUGAUUCAAAACCCGUUUCAACUCGUUCCAAAUUUCCGAGUAAUAAACAUGUCCCGUGCCUAAAAGAAAACCUGCUCUCGAAACUACCAAAAAUUUUAAUUGGUGAUCUGAUAGAAAUUUUCAAACAGUAAAAUUGAAGCUUUAUAUGAGUAAUCUCUAGUUUUUCCAAAGAUGUAGGGAUAUUAUUACAAGACUUAUAUGGGACUCCAUUUUACUUACACCAUGGAAGCCGUUUCUAUAGCAGUAUCUGUAAGCCUACAUGUCUCUUCGACAUCCGUCUCAUCAGGUGGAUCCUCCAUCGGCAUAUCUUGGGGACAGAAGAAGGUUUCGGUGGCAUGUGCAUGUCUUCGACUUCACCUUCAAGCAUCUCCACAACUUUUCUCAUAGAAGGGCGAUCUGCCGGCUUCAAUUGUAUGCACCACAGUGCAACCAUGAUCAUCUUCUUUGCUACUUUCUUAUCAAUUUCACAGGCAUUCUCAAUUUCAAUGCUCAAUCCUUUUUCUAGUUGAUCAUAAAUCCAAAAGGGAAGUAUAUAUUUGGCUUGUAUUUUCUGCAUGAGCAUGCAUUCAAGUUCGUUCUAUGUCCUGUCAUUUCCAAUAACAACAUCCCCAAAGCUAUGUAUCCCAUUGUGCUCCUUGCAGCUGUAACAGAAAUGGUGGUGUGAUCUUUAGGGUAAAGUCUUACAAACCCCAAAGUUGGAGAUUUUUGAAGUGAAGUUUUCAAGUAGAAUAUUCAUAGUGCAGAAUCUGCAUAUCACAGCACUGAUGUAGAUAUGCUUGAGGAAUGCCGGUUGAAAAACUAAAUUCCAUAUGAUGAGUAGGUCAAUGCCUUGGUAAGCAAUUAGAUGUACUGUUUUUUUAGGCUGGACUGAUUAACUAUAGUUUACUAAAGAUUUUUGAAAAUUUCUUACAUAAAAUUACUCUCUCUAUUCUAAUUACUCUUAAGAAUUUAAUCGUUCCCUUGGUUAUCAAGAACCACGGGCUAAGAGUUAUGACAUGCCAUGUUCCUAAUCUGAGUUAUGACAUGCCAUUUUCCUUUUAGAAGAUAUUUAUAUGGAUGUUCAAAACGUAUAUUUAGCUGUGCCGGAAAAGACUAGUUUCCCUUUUUUUUCUUUAUGGAAAUCCAAGUACUUAAGAUUUUGAUGGAGCAAUUGUCGAUUAUAUUAUCUUCAGAAUGCAUAACUAGGUUUCAUGCAUUUCUAGGCUAGCUGUAUUUUUGGAUCCUGUUGAACCCUUAUAGAUUGCAAAAGUAAUGAUUACAACCGGAAAGCUUCUGUCUGAAAGUUCAACAUCGACAGUCACUGAUGAACUAAAGAAGGAAAGUAGGAUGCUGAAGGUUGACAAUGUUACUGCACUUGUUGCAAGUAACAAGGGAGGCAUUUAUUCUAUGUUCAAUGGUGGAUUAAUGUCGUUGCCAACUGCAGUUUGGAGAUCUUCAGCUCGAGCUAAUAUCAGAUAAAGCCACCAUAGGGGUCGUAAUCAGCUUUGCUUUUGGGUAAAUAUACUUGCCUGUAACAACCUUACUUCUCUUUCGUGGGAGCUAGCUCAGGGCAUCCAAAACAUCCCGGAGAGUUCAUUGCAGUAUGCAAAUGACAAUGCUUUGAUGCUGGCUAAGUCUUUGAGGGGCGCUCUGCUUACUGUCUGCUAUUCAUCAGCGUUAUUGUCUGCUUUUACUACUGUCGGACUUCUCUUACUCGGAAGACAACUAAAGUCACCAAACGAGAAGUGAGCUUCCUCGUGUCCUGUCUCCCUCGGUUUUGCUUUUGCCUCUCUCUGUAUAUGCAGAAGUCGAUCGAUGUAUUUUAUAAUAGAAUUGCCCGAUAUAAGUGGAAUUAAAUGUUGCUCGAUAACAAUCUCAAGAAGUGCAUAAGAAGAUUUUUUGUUAACAAAACUACUGUAUCAUGUAAUUAACUCAGAAUAAUGUACAAGGUUGAGACCUCUUCUUUUGUGUUAA